rnacentral:rRNA from 1 species
UACGUAGGGACCAAGCGUUGUUCGGAUUUACUGGGCGUAAAGGGCGCGUAGGCGGCUUAACAAGUCACUUGUGAAAUCUCCGGGCUUAACUCGGAACGGCCAAGUGAAACUGUCAAGCUAGAGUGCAGAAGGGGCAAUCGGAAUUCCUGGUGUAGCGGUGAAAUGCGUAGAUAUCAAGAGGAACACCUGAGGUGAAGACGGGUUGCUGGGCUGACACUGACGCUGAGGCGCGAAAGCCAGGGGAGCAAACGGG